ensembl:lncRNA
UAUCUUCAUUUAAACCAGGGUAUAUAGUGGCCUGUAGUCUGUAAAUCCAUAUCUUCAUUUAAACCAGGGUAUUUAGUGGCCUGUAGUUUGUAAAUCCAAAAACGUUCCCUUUGGUUUAACUGUUUAAGACGGUUCCCUUUUCUAAUAGAGACCGGAAUAUGAUCAAUACACAUAGCUUGUAGGGAGGCAGGGUUGCCAUGGUGUAGGGACUUGUAUGCCUUGCCAUGGGGUAGUUUUCAUUGCCUACACGUAUGGCAUACUUGUGUUCCGCUAAGUGUUCCUGAAGGCGUCUCUUCUUCUUCACACACUCACUCAGACACUCACUCACACACACGCACACACACACACACACACUGAGAAUGGGGCAAUGAGGGAACAGAUAUGGCUGUAUGGAGUAAUCCACAGCUCUCUGUCUGAGUUAUUCCAGAAAACAAUCAAAUGAAAGAAAACAAUAACUCCUCUGUAACUUCCACUUCUCCUUAAAUAAAUAAAUAGCACCGCACCAGCAGUCUUUACUGUCACCAGUCAACCUCUCUUUUCUCCUUCCCCGCCCCUCAACACCUGUCCAGCGCUACCCCAGGACGCCCGCGUCAUGUACUCACAUCGACCCACUGACCGGGAGCGCGCACCAGCCGAAGAUGUGAUUGCGGCUUCACGGAUAGCGAGAGAGGAGGAACAGGGAGAGAGAGAGUGAGAGAUACCUGUACCGCAUUACACGAAAUAACGACCACAAGCACACACUUUCACACAUGCUACUGCAGAGCUGACACACACAGCGGAGAAAAGAGAGGGAACAGCGAAAUAUCUGCGGUCACGCCACAGGCACUCAGGUCCGAGCCGUAUCAGGAGCCAACCAGGAGUUGUGACAGGAGAGGAGAGCCAAUCAGAGGAGAGAGAUGUUGGUGCAGGGCGGGCCUUGGGUCCUGUCUGUCAUGUUGUUGCUCCUGCUGCUAUGGCAAGAAGUGUCUGCUAUUGAGGUUCCUCUUGAUCAAAAGAUCCAGCAGGAUUGAGUAUAGCCUACCUGGCUGGCAUGAAAAUGAACCACGGGAAAAAGCAUCCUCCAUUUGCUAUUUUCAGCGGCCCCUUUUUCGAGACAGGUGCAUGAUAAUCGUGUGAUGGGUGACAAUAUUAGCCUAUCACUUGUGAAUGAUGCCCAGCAAACAGUGCACUUUUCUUUUUUUUUUUGCAACUUCUUCAAAUCAUAGUCGCACACUUCAUGUAGCCUGGCCUAUAUGUUUUGAUAAGGUUUGCAUCACAACUAAAGUGACCAAAUAACUUUGUAAAAUGAGGCACAUUAAUCCUCUUCACAAGGGGUGUAGAGCCUAAGUGACAUACAUACGCAGCACGUGAGCUUCAAGUUUGAGGAAGAUCAUUUUCACCAUAAAAAUGCACAAUCACAUUUGUGGUCACUUUUGAGAAUGGUGUUUUCCUGCUAAUGGAACAUACACACUUAUAGCCUACUGCCGUGUGCACAUUGCUGCACUUAUGUGAAGAAAUUGCCUAAUAGUUGAUCAACAUUUUAAGCUAAACGUUCUGAUCUGUUGCGUCAGCCUCAUUGCUUAAAACCGUUUUUCUGAUGUUAGUGGUUGUAUUCUUUUGGGAUCUAUCCCAUCCCACAACUGUCCCAGACUGUCUGGAAUAUUUAUUUAUCGUACAGAAUAUCAUAGGUUAACUUUUGUAUUAUUGGCGAUAGUAGAUUGACAGUCGAGUGUUUUUGCUGUUCGUUAGGCCUACUCAUCUUGUUGGCUGACAAAAAGUAAACGUGGAUAGUUCUUCCAAUAUCUUCAAUAUGCUCCUCAGAAUUCGAUAAUGACGUUUCGCAUCCUCAUCAGCCCAAGGGCCACUGGCCACAAAAGGCAUGUAUUUUUUUAGGUGGCAUUAUGGCCACACAAAGGUGAUGCCACCUGGAAGAUCAAGGCAUUAUCAAGUGCUUGUCAAAUAGUGAAUGAGAGACUGAUGAAGUGUGUACAGCCUGUGCAAAAAAACAUGCUUUUCAUGCAGCUUUUUUCAAAUCAGUCUCAUCAUACAGCCUUACAAUGUAUUAAAAAUCAAAACAUAUAGCCCAACGUUUGUAGAACAACUAAAGUUACAUUAAUAACUCAAAAUUAAACAUAGUGGAGUACCUGUUUCUUUCUUAACAGCUCAAAACAGAAUAGCCGCAUGUGUGCACUCCCUCAAAUAUUGGAGAAAAUAUCCUUUCUAUUUUAUUCAGCUUUGUUCAAUUGUAUUCUUCGUACUAUAAAAUAAUGCCAUGGAAUUCUAAGCAAAUCAUGUCUGCUAAAUGAACUAGUGUAGCCUACAGCCAUAUGGAAUAGCCAGAUCAGGGCCUAAAAUAAGGACAACUCGGAGUAUGCUAUUCUGUUCUUCCAAAAUAUACUACAUUUUUUUCAUAUCAUGUACCUUUAGAC